GACAACUGUGGUGGACUGAAAAUUGAUAGUCAAUUUGUAGCCCUAGCUGAAUUCAAUCAGCAUGGUGCUGAGUGGAUCACUCACCUGCAGACUGCUGCCAGCACAAAAGGGAGGACUGGAGAGGAAGAAACCUUGAUUACAACAAUAUUCUUGUCUCAUUCCUGAUUUUAGAGGGAAAGUUUUGUUCAUUUCACAUGCCGUUGGCGGUUGGUUUGUCAUAAGUGACCUUUAUCAGAUUGAGGUAAAGAGCAUCUUUUCCAAUUUUAUCUUUUUUUUUUU
rnacentral:lncRNA from 1 species